rnacentral:rRNA from 1 species
CUACGGGGUGCAGCAGUGGGGAAUAUCGGACAAUGGGCGAAAGCCUGAUCCAGCAAUGCCGCGUGAGUGAUGAAGGCCUUCGGGUUGUAAAGCUCUUUCAGUAGGAAAGAUAAUGACGGUACCUACAGAAGAAGCCCCGGCUAACUCCGUGCCAGCAGCCGCGGUAAUACGGAGGGGGCUAGCGUUGUUCGGAAUCACUGGGCGUAAAGAGCGUGUAGGCGGUUUAUCAAGUUGGAAGUGAAAGCCCAGGGCUUAACCCUGGAAUUGCUUCCAAAACUAAUAAACUAGAGAAUGGUAGGGGAUAGUGGAAUUCCUAGUGUAGAGGUGAAAUUCGUAGAUAUUAGGAGGAACACCAGAGGCGAAAGCGACUAUCUGGACCAUUUCUGACGCUAAGACGCGAGAGCGUGGGUAGCAAACAGGAUUAGAUACCCGAGUAGUC